rnacentral:rRNA from 1 species
UCUCCCAAGGCUAAAUACUAACUAGUGACCGAUAGCGAACAAGUACCGUGAGGGAAAGGUGAAAAGAACCCCGGAAGGGGAGUGAAAUAGUUCUUGAAACCGUGUGCUUACAAGAAGUUCGAGGCCGUUAAUGGCUGAGAGCGUGCUUUUUGUAGAAUGAACCGGAGAGUUACGAUUGCGUGCAAGGUUAAGGUGCAAAGACUGGAGCCGUAGCGAAAGCGAGUCUUAAUAGGGCGAAUCAGUACGUAGUUGUAGACCCGAAACCGAGUGACCUAUCCAUGGUCAGGUUGAAGGUGGGGUAAUACCUACUGGAGGACCGAACAAGUGGGUGUUAAAAAACCCUUUGAUGAACUGUGGAUAGCGGUGAAAUUCCAAUCGAACUCGGAGAUAGCUGGUUCUAUCCGAAAUACAUUUAGGUGUAGCCUUGCAAUUAGCUUACUGGAGGUAGAGCACUAUUUGGUCUAGGGGCCCUUCAAGGGUUACCAAAAUCAGAUAAACUCCGAAUGCCAGCUAAGUAUGUGCAGGAGUCAGACGGUGAGUGAUAAGAUCCAUCGUCAAAAGGGGAACAGCCCAGAUCACCAGUUAAGGUCCCUAAAUAUAUGCUAAGUGGAAAACGUUGUGAAGGUGCAUAGACAACUAGGAGGUUGGCUCAGAAGCAGCCACCCUUUAAAGAGUGCGUAAUAGCUCACUAGUCGAGUGCUCUUGCGCGGAUAAUGUACCGGGGCUAAGCAUAUUACCGAAACUGUGGAUGCGUAAGCAUGGUAGGAUAGCGUAAUUAACGCGAUGAAGGAUGACCGUAAGGACAUGUUGGAGCGUUAACUAGUGAGAAUUCCGGUAUGAGUAGCGAAAGAUAGGUGAGAAUCCUAUCCACCGAAUGAGUAAGGUUUCCCCCGGAAGGCUCGUCCGCGGGGGGUUAGUCGGGACCUAAGGCGAGGCUGAAAAGCGUAGUCGAUGGACAACAGGUUGAUAUUCCUGUACCGAUAUUUAAUUGCCGAAGGAAGGACGCAGAAGGAUAACAC